rnacentral:rRNA from 1 species
UGAACGUUGGCGGCGUGGAUUAGGCAUGCAAGUCGAGCGCUCAUAGCAAUAUGGGAGCGGCGAACGGCGUAGUAAGACGUAGGAACGUACCCUCGGGUCGGGGAUAGCUACGGGAAACUGUAGGUAAUACCCGAUAAUCUCUGCGGAGCAAAGGUGUGAUUCCGCCUGAGGAGCGGCUUACGCGAUAUUAGCUAGUUGGUGGGGUAAUGGCCUACCAAGGCGAUGAUGUCUAGGGGGUGUGAGAGCAUGGCCCCACGACCGGAACUGAGAUACUGUCCGGACACCUACGGGUGGCUGCAGUCGAGAAUCUUCCGCAAUGGACGAAAGUCUGACGGAGCGACGCCGCGUGCGGGAUGAAGGCCCUUGGGUUGUAAACCGCUGUCAGAGGGGAUGAAAUCUUCGGAGGUACUCCUCCGAAGUUGACAGAGCCUCAAAGGAAGCACGGGCUAAGUACGUGCCAGCAGCCGCGGUAACACGUACUGUGCGAACGUUAUCCGGAAUUACCU